rnacentral:rRNA from 1 species
CCUACGGGCGGCAGCAGUGAGGAAUAUUGGUCAAUGGACGAGAGUCUGAACCAGCCAAGUAGCGUGAAGGAUGACUGCCCUAUGGGUUGUAAACUUCUUUUAUAUGGGAAUAAAACGUUCCACGUGUGGGAUUUUGUAUGUACCAUAUGAAUAAGGAUCGGCUAACUCCGUGCCAGCAGCCGCGGUAAUACGGAGGAUCCGAGCGUUAUCCGGAUUUAUUGGGUUUAAAGGGAGCGUAGGUGGAUUGUUAAGUCAGUUGUGAAAGUUUGCGGCUCAACCGUAAAAUUGCAGUUGAUACUGGCAGUCUUGAGUACAGUAGAGGUGGGCGGAAUUCGUGGUGUAGCGGUGAAAUGCUUAGAUAUCACGAAGAACUCCGAUUGCGAAGGCAGUUCACUGGACUGCAACUGACACUGAGGCUCGAAAGUGUGGGUAUCAAACAGGAUUAGAUACCCGAGUAGUC